AUACGGAGGGUGCAAGCGUUGUCCGGAAUCAUUGGGUUUAAAGGGUGUGUAGGCGGGGCUGUAAGUCAGAGGUGAAAUCCUACGGCUCAACCGUAGAACUGCCUUUGAUACUGCAGCUCUUGAGUCUCGGAGAGGUCAUUAGAAUUCGUGGUGUAGCGGUGAAAUGCGUAGAUAUCACGAGGAAUACCAGAGGCGUAGGCGGAUGACUGGACGAGUACUGACGCUGAGGCACGAAAGCGCGGGGAGCAAACAGGAUUAGAAACCCCAGUAGUCC
rnacentral:rRNA from 1 species